UUCCGCCCACUCUUGUGUCGUGUGGGGCCGGGGCGUCCUUUAGACACAGCACCUGAACGGACCUAAGCUUUGCGGACCGGCAGGAACUCAUGAAGCUACCAAUGCGUUAGCCUGGCGACCGGCGUGACGCGGAGGGAAUGUUGUUGAUCGCCUGCACCCGGAGACACCUACGCUGAACUCUUUUCGGACAUGGGUUCGACUCCCAUCGCCUCCACCA
rnacentral:tmRNA from 1 species